rnacentral:misc_RNA from 1 species
UAUAAUUUUGUCACUCUAACCGUCAGCACGGAGGAACGGCUGAGCGUGAAAUACCUUUUCAGUUUCUCAGGCCCAUAGCCAUAGACAAUAGCCGGACCUGUGUACUUUUCGAACUUUUAUCAAAACCGAAUUGAUUUAGCGCAGGCACAAGAUUAAUUAGCUCUCAUCGAUCCGGUUUCGCCCACCUUGAAGUUCAAUUUGUAUGGGAAAUCGAGUCCGACCACAGGCCAGUCCUUCACGGCAUCGCCACCAGCGACGGCACCGCUCCCACAUAUCUUGGGGCCCGUGUGUAGCAUAGUUUGUGCGCGCAUUCAAACGGAUUUAUUUAUAUAACUUCUCAGGUGUAGAGCCCGAAAUAGGAGCAGUGUUUUAAUGCGGCCAUCACGUGGAUUCCCAACAGCCGGAGCACAUGUGCGGGUUACACUUUAAGACUCGUAACAGUCCGUCUCAGAAGACGUCCCUCCGUUGGGGCGACUGCUGCCUCACAUAAAGCGUGUGUAUGUGUGUGUGUGUCUCUGUGGUGUGCGAUUCCUAAACGUAUUCCUGGCCAGACUUCACGUUGAUUCCUAUCUAAUUAGUGUAGACGUAGACUCUUGUGAUCUGUGAUCUGCUUAGACAAAGACGGAGGACCCCAGAGAGGACUCCAAGCCGCGCACUCGUUCGUGCAGGAAAUGUUGCAUAAGUUGAGGCGCAUUUGAUUGGCGCGCGCUCCAGACGACGCUUCAGAGCUUCAGAUUCUUUCGGCCACGCUGGGCGCACAAAGUGGCGUCUGCUUUUGAACUUGGCGUACGUACAUAUAGCACAGCAAAGCUAAAGGUCGACUCCAUUUGGAGGUCAUUAAUUUCCACAAGCAGUGGGAGUAGAGAAGCCCGAUUUUAUUUCCAUAUCCAAGCCAGGGACUCGCUCGAUAACCAAGGAUGAUUAAUGUUGCGGGCGUCGUGAGCAUUGUGCUCUUCUACGCUCUCAUCCUGGUGGUGGGCAUUUGGGCCGGUCGCAAAAAGCAGGCGGGCAACGAUUCCGAGGAGGAGGUGAUGCUGGCUGGACGCUCCAUUGGCCUGUUCGUUGGCAUCUUCACCAUGACCGCCACCUGGGUGGGUGGCGGCUAUAUCAAUGGCACGGCCGAGGCCAUCUACACAUCGGGUCUGGUCUGGUGCCAGGCGCCCUUUGGCUAUGCUCUCAGCUUGGUUUUCGGUGGCAUAUUCUUUGCCAAUCCCAUGCGCAAACAGGGCUACAUCACCAUGCUGGAUCCUCUCCAGGACUCGUUCGGGGAGCGCAUGGGUGGCCUGCUCUUCUUGCCCGCCCUCUGCGGGGAGGUGUUCUGGGCAGCUGGCAUAUUGGCCGCCUUGGGCGCCACUUUGUCGGUGAUCAUUGACAUGGAUCAUCGCACUUCGGUCAUUCUGUCCUCCUGCAUUGCCAUUUUCUACACACUCUUCGGCGGCCUGUAUUCCGUGGCCUACACGGAUGUGAUACAGUUGUUCUGCAUUUUCAUCGGCCUCUGGAUGUGCAUCCCCUUCGCCUGGACCAACGAGCAUGUGGGCAGCCUCAGCGACCUUCAGGUGGACUGGAUAGGGCACGUGGAGCCAAAAAAACACUGGUUGUACAUAGACUACGGGCUGCUACUGGUCUUCGGGGGCAUUCCCUGGCAGGUGUACUUCCAGCGUGUGCUCUCCAGCAAGACGGCGGGACGGGCUCAGCUCCUGUCCUACGUGGCUGCUGCCGGAUGCAUUCUGAUGGCCAUUCCGCCUGUCCUGAUUGGUGCCAUAGCCAAGGCCACACCUUGGAACGAAACGGAUUACAAGGGUCCCUAUCCCCUGACUGUGGAUGAGACGAGCAUGAUAUUGCCCAUGGUGCUGCAGUAUCUGACACCCGACUUUGUGUCCUUCUUCGGUCUGGGCGCCGUCUCCGCCGCUGUCAUGUCAUCCGCCGACUCGUCCGUGCUGUCGGCCGCCUCGAUGUUUGCACGCAACGUUUACCGAUUGAUUUUCCGUCAGAAGGCUUCCGAGAUGGAAAUCAUUUGGGUAAUGCGCGUGUCCAUCAUUGUGGUUGGCAUUCUGGCCACCAUUAUGGCCCUCACAAUUCCCUCCAUAUACGGCUUGUGGUCUAUGUGCUCGGAUCUGGUCUACGUCAUCCUGUUCCCCCAGCUUCUGAUGGUGGUGCACUUCAAGAAGCACUGCAACACGUACGGAAGCCUGGCCGCCUACAUUGUGGCACUGCUAAUUCGGCUGUCGGGUGGCGAGGCCAUACUAGGACUACCCGCCCUCAUCAAAUAUCCCGGCUACGAUGAGGACACGCAGGAGCAGAUGUUCCCCUUCCGCACAAUGGCCAUGUUGCUCAGCCUAAUAACCCUCGUCUUCGUCUCCUGGUGGACCAAAAUGAUGUUCGAGUCUGGAAAGUUGCCGCCUAGCUACGACUAUUUCCGCUGCGUGGUCAACAUUCCCGAGGAUGUGCAGCGGGUGGGCGAUCCAUCGGAGUCCGGAGAGCAGCUGUCGGUGAUGGCUGGCCCCCUGGCACGUUCCUAUGGCGCUGCCACUAUGGCGGGCAAGGACGAGCGUAACGGACGCAUCAAUCCUGCCUUGGAGUCCGACGACGAUCUACCUGUGGCGGAGGCCCGACGCAUGAACCAGCAAACGGCACAGGCGCAGGUGAAGAAGAUGCUGGACACGGCCACUGGCAGCGGCGGCGGACAGUUGGGCCAGUCCGGCAUGGCCAUACCCACGCCAGAGCAGGACAAUACGGCCUUCUGAGUGGAGUAGUCGUAGUCCCAGCAGAUGUGGAUGUCGAUGUGAAUGCGGAUGUGUCCCAGGUGAUUUUUAGUUGCGCUUGUUAGGGAUGGGAUGGAAUGGAAUGGAGUGGAAUGGAAUGGAAUGGAAUGGAAUGGUGGAAGCGGGAAGCAGAGUGGGGUACAGAAAGUAUUUUGAAACGUACGUUAAACACACAAGUGCUCAGGGUAUAAAGUGCAGAAAGCUGACUGUAAAAUUAACGUAUAAUUUAGCCAAUUUAUCUCUUAUAUCAAUUAUGUAUAGGUUUCCACAAGCUUAAAGCGUUAUAUUCUAUGGAUUUCGAACUUGAUUUCUGUUGUUGUUGACUUUUAUGUUGCUAGUCGUGAAAGUAUAUAGUACUUACGUAUAAAUGUCGAAAAUGAAAUCCGAAAUGCGGAAAUCGAUCAACUGAAUAUCUCAUUCAGAAAUCGAUCAACUCAAUACAUAUCAAAUGCAUUUUCCAUUGGAGAGAAUUGCAUUCAAAUCUAGGCAAUACACUAUUUAUCGAUGAAAAGUGGCUGCAAAGUUAGGCCUACGAAUAGCAAUAUGAAUCGGCAUUCCCCAAUUAGCAUAUCGGAGGACCUGCGCAUAAACUCGUACUUUACAGAUGCAUAUAAUGUGAAUCAUGUGUCCUUCCAGAACGAACAAAGAACAAAGCAAAGCAAACUAUCCACAAAUAAACGCAAACGAAACAUAUCAAAAUAAAGGCGGAACUAGUAAUAUAUUAUAGCAAAAAAUACAUAUCAUUUGUGUAACUGUUGUUUUGUAAGCUAUAUAGGAGAUAUCGAGAUACCCUACCAUACCACAUAUUGUAUGUAAACAACAAAAUAGUUGUGUAAGUGAGAGCAUCUUGAGGGGCAUAUUGAGUUACACAUAUAGACAAAUGAAUUUUAGCUGCUCUCAAAGAGCAAAAACCACAGAAGAAGUACAUAUAGUAUUGCAGAACAUACUCGUACAGAACAGACAUAUGUAAAAUGUUGCGUCGUAGUACCUAAUAAUAUACCUAUACAUAUGUACAACCAUAUAUACAUACAUACCUACAUAUAAAUAUACAUACAUACGAUAUAUAGAAAGACAGACACUGAAUUUAGAAAGUUAUAACCAAAAAGAGACACCUGCGAAAGGAAUUCUAGUCUACGUACACACGCUGCCUAAGACCCAAAAAAACCUGAACCUGAAUCUGAACCUAAAUCUGAACAUAAAUCUAAUUCGAAAUCGAAAUCGGAGACCCCAAAUAACCAUAAUAACGAUUACUAUGAGGUGGGAUAGUGGGUUUUUUUCAGAUAUUUAUGUAUAAUCGAGAGAGAUGUGGAUGUUGGUUCCUCUUUUUUGUCAUUCUCAAAUGGCUCGUUUGUUAAAGUUACGUCCCGUUGGCAAGAAGAA